GCCACCAUAGCUCAGUGGUUAGAGCGCUGGUCUCGUAAACCAGGGGUCGUGAGUUCGAACCUCCCUGGUGGCU
rnacentral:tRNA from 1 species